rnacentral:lncRNA from 1 species
CCACUGUUCACACGGACUGAGUCUCCCCUGAAUUUGCACGGCGUCGCACAAGUACAAAAGUACAAACAGGAUACAACCACUCCCACUGAACAUACAAAUAACCAUACAUUCAUAUAUCCAUACACCAUUCACCAUAGGUUCAUAUACGGAGAUUUGCACAUAAAUCCACAACUAUCAGUUGAAAUGUCUCCUACCCGGAAACAUGUUUUGAAAAACUAAGUUAUGAAAGCAACGAGAAAACUUUUUCAAAACCGUUUCCCACAUGGAAACCCUUUUUAUUAAAACACGCUACCACGAGGGGUAGAAAACCAUUUCCAGUUUACAAAAUCAUAAAUCUUUUAUUACGAAAUCCCGAUUAUUCAAAUGUAAUAACAAAACUGAACCAAUAACUAUCUAAGUCAAAUACUCAGAAAUAACAAAAGUAGCAACUAAACUAAACAAACCGGAUCGGAAGCUCUAUCGACCGCUAUGAAUGUGUCUCACGUAUCGUCUCAACCCCCACCGCCCGCCAUACCUGAAAAAAU